rnacentral:lncRNA from 1 species
UGCAGGCUGCAGAACCAGUGAAAGGGCACCAGUUCCAGAAGAAAAACUUCCUCCUUCUGGGUGCAAUUCUGCCACUUUUACUGGAGCACAAAUAGCUCAAAGAUGAAGAUGAAGGCAGGAAAGCACCAAGGAACCUUCUGAAAAAAUUCCUGAGCGGGAUGGACCUGGAUGUCCCUGACGUACACGAUGGGUGGUCUUCUUCAGAGCCAGCUCUUGAGCUGGGCCUUCCCCGAACGUUUGUCACGGGCACUUCGCCCACGCAUUCCCAGCGCGGCUCUGCAGGAAUACUCCGCGCUCCUCUCCGCCUCCCGCGCCCCUUCGUCCGCUGGCAGGAGGCACUGCUCCCGCCGGGUCGCCACUUCCUCCACGCGCCGCGCCGCCAGAUGGCGCUCUUGCACAAGGCACUCCGCGGGACGGGGUGGGACGGGACGGGGCGACGCGUGGGGCCGGGCCGCGCCGCGGAGUUUUCCUCCUGCAGUGUGAAGCUUUGCUUUCCUCCGCCGUUUUCCACCCGUUUUAAGAUCAGCGCCAUCGUUUCGUUGCACAGUUGCGGAAUAUUUGUCACUGUGAAGGAGAAGCAAAAUGACGGGUCCGAGAAGUGAAGCUGGGAAUGAAGAAAUGCCUAUAAACAAAGAAGCCAGGAGCACUAACGGUGCAUAAAUGGGAAAUGUCCGCAGAGGGUGGAGGUGUAAAUCACAUUCAAAUGUGUUCGAUAAGUCCUGAAGUCAGAACUGCAUACCCCCAUUCACGGCUUUGCUGCGUUUAAAUAAAAAUCUUUUGUGUGGUCACUGUAAAAAAUAAUAAUAAAAAUAAUUACAUAUUAGUUACGUGUUGUACAUAGUGUACAUUAUAUAGGAGUGCACUUUUCUACCUGGAAUGUGACUGCUGAAAGUGUAAUCUUUUGUAUUCUUUCUCUCUACCAUUUAAGAUGUAAGAUUGUGAGGGUGACAUCAGACCUUUCCCAAAUAUUCUAACCGAUUUUCAGCAUUCUGCAGUUAUUCAGAAGGAAGUUCCAAACCACUGUGUGUGCCC